rfam:Vibrio angustum S14 1099604003228 genomic scaffold, whole genome shotgun sequence.
GCUCAAGGCCACAACCUCCAAGUAGACAUCGUUUACGGCGUGGACUACCAGGGUAUCUAAUCCUGUUUGCUCCCCACGCUUUCGCAUCUGAGUGUCAGUAUCUGUCCAGGGGGCCGCCUUCGCCACCGGUAUUCCUUCAGAUCUCUACGCAUUUCACCGCUACACCUGAAAUUCUACCCCCCUCUACAGUACUCUAGUCUGCCAGUUCAAAAUGCUGUUCCGAGGUUGAGCCCCGGGCUUUCACAUCUGNNNNNNNNNNNNNNNNNNNNNNNNNNNNNNNNNNNNNNNNNNNNNNNNNNNNNNNNNNNNNNNNNNNNNNNNNNNNNNNNNNNNNNNNNNNNNNNNNNNNUACUGGAGGACCGAACCGACUAAUGUUGAAAAUUAGCGGAUGACUUGUGGCUAGGGGUGAAAGGCCAAUCAAACUCGGAGAUAGCUGGUUCUCCCCGAAAGCUAUUUAGGUAGCGCCUCGGACGAAUACUACUGGGGGUAGAGCACUGUUAAGGCUAGGGGGUCAUCCCGACUUACCAACCCUUUGCAAACUCCGAAUACCAGUAAGUACUAUCCGGGAGACACACGGCGGGUGCUAACGUCCGUCGUGAAGAGGGAAACAACCCAGACCGCCAGCUAAGGUCCCAAAGUUAUAGCUAAGUGGGAAACGAUGUGGGAAGGCUCAGACAGCCAGGAUGUUGGCUUAGAAGCAGCCAUCAUUUAAAGAAAGCGUAAUAGCUCACUGGUCGAGUCGGCCUGCGCGGAAGAUUUAACGGGGCUAAGCUAUACACCGAAGCUGCGGCAAUGCAGUUUACUGCAUUGGGUAGGGGAGCGUUCUGUAAGCCGUUGAAGGUGAAUCGUAAGGUUUGCUGGAGGUAUCAGAAGUGCGAAUGCUGACAUGAGUAACGAUAAAGGGAGUGAAAAACUCCCUCGCCGGAAGAUCAAGGGUUCCUGUCCAACGUUAAUCGGGGCAGGGUAAGUCGACCCCUAAGGCGAGGCCGAAAGGCGUAGUCGAUGGGAAACGGGUUAAUAUUCCCGUACUUCUUAUAAUUGCGAUGGAGGGACGGAGAAGGCUAGGUGAGCCUGGCGACGGUUGUCCAGGUCCAAGUAUGUAGGCUGAUGGUUUAGGCAAAUCCGGACCAUCUUAAGGCUGAGAUACGAUGUCGAGUCACUACGGUGACGAAGUCAUUGAUGCCAUGCUUCCGGGAAAAGCUUCUAAGCUUCAGAUUAUAAGAAAUCGUACCCCAAACCGACACAGGUGAUCAGGUAGAGAAUACCAAGGCGCUUGAGAGAACUCGGGUGAAGGAACUAGGCAAAAUGGUACCGUAACUUCGGGAGAAGGUACGCUCCUAGCGGUGAUGAGACUUGCUCUCUAAGCUGCCGGGAGUCGCAGAUACCAGGUGGCUGCAACUGUUUAUUAAAAACACAGCACUGUGCAAAAUCGAAAGAUGACGUAUACGGUGUGACGCCUGCCCGGUGCCGGAAGGUUAAUUGAUGGGGUUAGACUUCGGUCGAAGCUCUUGAUCGAAGCCCCGGUAAACGGCGGCCGUAACUAUAACGGUCCUAAGGUAGCGAAAUUCCUUGUCGGGUAAGUUCCGACCUGCACGAAUGGCGUAAUGAUGGCCACGCUGUCUCCACCCGAGACUCAGUGAAAUUGAAAUCGCAGUGAAGAUGCUGCGUCCCCGCGGCUAGACGGAAAGACCCCGUGAACCUUUACUAUAGCUUGGCACUGAACAUUGACCCUACAUGUGUAGGAUAGGUGGGAGACGUUGAAGCAACCGCGCCAGUGGUUGUGGAGUCAAUCUUGAAAUACCACCCUUGUAUGCUUGAUGUUCUAACGUUGGCCCCUUAUCGGGGUUACGGACAGUGCCUGGUGGGUAGUUUGACUGGGGCGGUCUCCUCCCAAAGAGUAACGGAGGAGCACGAAGGUGGGCUAAUCACGGUCGGACAUCGUGAGGUUAGUGCAAUGGCAUAAGCCCGCUUGACUGCGAGAAUGACAAUUCGAGCAGGUGCGAAAGCAGGUCAUAGUGAUCCGGUGGUUCUGAAUGGAAGGGCCAUCGCUCAACGGAUAAAAGGUACUCCGGGGAUAACAGGCUGAUACCGCCCAAGAGUUCAUAUCGACGGCGGUGUUUGGCACCUCGAUGUCGGCUCAUCACAUCCUGGGGCUGAAGUCGGUCCCAAGGGUAUGGCUGUUCGCCAUUUAAAGUGGUACGCGAGCUGGGUUUAGAACGUCGUGAGACAGUUCGGUCCCUAUCUGCCGUGGGCGUUGGAUGAUUGAGAGGGGCUGCUCCUAGUACGAGAGGACCGGAGUGGACGAACCGCUGGUGUUCGGGUUGUGUCGCCAGACGCAUUGCCCGGUAGCUAAGUUCGGAAUCGAUAACCGCUGAAAGCAUCUAAGCGGGAAGCGAGCCUCAAGAUGAGUCAUCCCUAGACCUUUAAGGUCUCUAAAGGGUUGUUGAAGACUACAACGUUGAUAGGUCGGGUGUGUAAGUGCUGUGAGGCAUUGAGCUAACCGAUACUAAUUGCCCGUGAGGCUUAACCAUACAACACCCAAGGGGUUUUAUACGGACUCCAAGUACACUUGAACGUGUAGAGAACACUAGUUAGAUUUUCCCAGAUUGCUAUUUAUUGUCGAUGACAAUAAAUAAACCCGAAUUUGCUUGGCGACCAUAGCGUUAUGGACCCACCUGAUCCCAUGCCGAACUCAGUAGUGAAACGUAAUAGCGCCGAUGGUAGUGUGGGGUCUCCCCAUGUGAGAGUAGGACAUCGCCAGGCUUAACUUUUGAGAGCCCGUUCCCUGAACGGGCUUUUAUUUCGCUCCGACUGAUUGCAAUGUGAGCGGCGUCAAAAGAAGGUUUUCACUUUUUAACCAACUGAUUAAAAAGAUGAGAAUUUUGUCUUGACUGAAUAUCAGAAAAGCGUAUUAUACGCCACCUGACUUGCUGAAGCGGUUAACGCUAAGGCAUUGAAAGUCAACGUUCUUUAACAAUUUGACCAUGCAAUCUGUGUGGGCACUCGUUGAAAAGUUAAGUCGAAAGAUUUAUCAAUAAUAAUAGUGACCAAAACGAUAGAAAUAUCGGCACAGUCAAUUCAAAUAUCCUAACUAGCUUCAAGUUA